AUUGAACGCUGGCGGCAGGCCUAACACAUGCAAGUCGAACGAGCGGCGGACGGGUGAGUAAUGUCUGGGAAACUGCCUGAUGGCGGGGGAUAACUACUGGAAACGGUAGCUAAUACCGCAUACCAUCGGAUGUGCCCAGAUGGGAUUAGCUAGUAGGUGGGGUAACGGCUCACCUAGGCGACGAUCCCUAGCUGGUCUGAGAGGAGGACCAGACACAUUGGAACUGAGACACGGUCAAGACUCCUACGGGAGGCAGCAGUGGGGAAUAUUGCACAAUGGGCGCAAGCCUGAUGCAGCCAUGACGCGUGUAUGAAGAAGGCCUUCGGGUUGUAAAGUACUUUCAGCGGGGAGGCGUUACCCGCAGAAGAAGCACCGGCUAACUCCGUGCCAGCCGCCGCGGUAAUAC
rnacentral:rRNA from 1 species